rnacentral:misc_RNA from 1 species
UACGAACCGGCCAAACGUUAUUCGGAAUCAUUGGGCUUAAAGGGUGCGUAGGCGGCGCGGUCAGUCGGGUGUGAAAUCCCUCGGCUCAACCGAGGAAUUGCGCCCGAUACUGCCGUGCUCGAGGGAGACAGAGGCGAGCGGAACUGAUGGUGGAGCGGUGAAAUGCGUUGAUAUCAUCAGGAACACCAGUGGCGAAAGCGGCUCGCUGGGUCUCUACUGACGCUGAGGCACGAAAGCUAGGGGAGCGAACGGG